GACGAACCGUGCGAACGUUGUUCGGAAUCACUGGGCUUAAAGGGCGCGUAGGCGGGCAUUCAAGUCAGGGGUGAAAUCCUCCAGCUUAACUGGAGAACUGCCUUUGAUACUGGGUGCCUCGAGUGAGGUAGGGGCGUGCGGAACUGAUGGUGGAGCGGUGAAAUGUGUUGAUAUCAUCAGGAACUCCGGUGGCGAAAGCGGCGCGCUGGACCUUAACUGACGCUGAGGCGCGAAAGCCAGGGGAGCAAACGGG
rnacentral:rRNA from 1 species